AGUGAACGCUGGCGGUAUGCCUAACACAUGCGAGUCGAACGGCAGCACAGUAAGAUCUUGCUCUUACGGGUGGCGAGUGGCGGACGGGUGAGGAAUACAUCGGAAUCUACUUUUUCGUGGGGGAUAACGUAGGGAAACUUACGCUAAUACCGCAUACGACCUACGGGUGAAAGCAGUGGAUCUUCGGACCUUGCGCGAUUGAAUUAGCCGAUGUCGGAUUAGCUAGUUGGCUGGGUAAAGGCCCACCAAGGCAACGAUCCGUAGCUGGCCUGAGAGGAGGAUCGGCCACACUGGAACUGAGACACGGUCCAGACUCCUACGGGAGGCAGCAGUGGGGAAUAUUGGACAAUGGGCGAAAGCCUGAUCCAGCCAUACCGCGUGGGUGAAGAAGGCCUUCGGGUUGUAAAGCCCUUUUGUUGGGAAAGAAAAGCAGCAGGUUAAUCCACCGCUGUUCUGACGGUACCUAAAGAAUAAGCACCGGCUAACUUCGUG
rnacentral:rRNA from 1 species